rnacentral:rRNA from 1 species
GAUGAACGCUAGCGGCAGGCUUAAUACAUGCAAGUCGAGGGACAGCACAGGUAGCAAUACUGGGUGGUAACCGGCAAACGGGUGCGGAACACGUACACAACCUUCCUUUAAGUGGGGGAUAGCCCAGAGAAAUUUGGAUUAAUACCCCGUAAUAUAGUUGAAUGGCAUCAUUUGAUUAUUAUAGCUACGGCGCUUAAUGAUGGGUGGGCGGCUGAUUAGAUAGUUGGCGGGGUAACGGCCCACCAAGUCUACGAUCAGUAGCUGAUGUGAGAGCAUGAUCAGCCACACGGUGAGUGAGACGCGGGCCCGACUCCUACGGGAGGCAGCAGUAAGGAAUAUUGGUCAAUGGACGCAAGUCUGAACCAGGCAUGCCGCGUGAAGGAUUAAGGUCCUCUGGAUUGUAAACUUCUUUUAUUUGGGACGAAAAAGGGCCUUUCUAGGUCAACUGACGGUACCAGAUGAAUAAGCACCGGCUAACUCCGUGCCAGCCGCCGCCGGUAAAAC